ACCUGGCGGGCUCAGUUGGUAGAGCGUGCGACUCUUGAUCUCGGGGGUGUGAGUUAGAGCCCCAUGUUGGGUG
rnacentral:tRNA from 1 species